rnacentral:lncRNA from 1 species
ACCACCAGUGAAGUCACCUCCCUAUUACUAUCAAUCUCCACCUCCACCAUCACCAAAACCUCAGCCUCCUUAUUAUUAUCACUCUCCACCUCCUCCAACACCAGUUGUUAAGCCACCAUACUACUACCAAUCUCCACCUCCUCCAUCUCCAAAACCUAAGCCUCCAUACUACUACCAAUCUCCUCCUCCUCCAUCACCAAAACCUAAACCUCCUUACUACUACCAAUCUCCACCUCCUCCAUCACCAAAACCUCAGCCUCCAUACUACUAUCAAUCUCCACCUCCUCCAACACCAGUUGUGAAGCCACCAUACUACUACCAAUCUCCACCUCCUCCAUCACCAAAACCUCAGCCUCCUUACUAUUACCAAUCUCCACCUCCUCCAACACCAGUUGUUAAGCCACCAUACUACUAUAAAUCUCCACCUCCCCCAUCACCCUCUCCUCCACCACCAUACUACUACAAAUCUCCACCACCACCAUCCCCAUCACCGCCACCUCCAUACUACUAUAAAUCUCCACCUCCACCAUCACCGGUUGUUAAGCCACCAUACUACUAUAAAUCCCCACCUCCCCCAUCACCCUCUCCUCCCCCUCCAUACUACUAUAAAUCUCCACCUCCAUACUACUACCACUCUCCACCUCCACCAUCACCAGUUGUUAAGCCACCAUACUACUACAAAUCUCCACCUCCACCAUCACCCUCACCUCCCCCUCCAUACUACUAUAAAUCUCCACCCCCACCUUCACCAUCCCCUCCUCCUCCAUACUAUUAUAAAUCACCAC